AGGCCUUCGAGGGUGAUACACAGGUGCUGCAUGGCCGCCGUCAGCUCGUGUCGUGAGAUGUAGGGUUAAGUCCCGAAACGAGCGCAACCCCUAUUCUAUGUUACAAGUGUCUUAGAAAACCGCCUCGGUAAAACGAGGAGGAAGGUGGGGAUGACGUCUGGUCCGCAUAGCCCUUAUGUCCUGGGCUACACACGCGCUACAAUGGCCGAUACAGUAGGAAGCCAAAUCGUAAGAUGGAGCUAAUCCUUAAAGUCGGUCUCAGUUCGGAUUGAGGUCUGAAAUUCGACCUCAUGAAGUUGGAUUUGCUAGUAAUCGUAGAUCAGCAAUGCUACGGUGAAUACGUUCUCGGGUCUU
rnacentral:rRNA from 1 species